CCUACGUGCGGCAGCAGUGGGGAAUAUUGGACAAUGGGCGAAAGCCUGAUCCAGCCAUGCCGCGUGUGUGAAGAAGGCCUUCGGGUUGUAAAGCACUUUCAGUGGGGAAGAAAGCCUUGGGGCUAAUACCCUCGAGGAAGGACAUCACCCACAGAAGAAGCACCGGCUAACUCCGUGCCAGCAGCCGCGGUAAUACGGAGGGUGCGAGCGUUAAUCGGAAUUACUGGGCGUAAAGCGCGCGUAGGCGGUCUGAUAAGCCGGUUGUGAAAGCCCCGGGCUCAACCUGGGAACGGCAUCCGGAACUGUCAGGCUAGAGUGCAGGAGAGGAAGGUAGAAUUCCCGGUGUAGCGGUGAAAUGCGUAGAGAUCGGGAGGAAUACCAGUGGCGAAGGCGGCCUUCUGGACUGACACUGACGCUGAGGUGCGAAAGCGUGGGUAGCAAACAGGAUUAGAUACCCCGGAGUC
rnacentral:rRNA from 1 species